GCAACGUCCCUCGCAGAUCACAAGACGUGCCCUCAAAAUAGGCCACCCUGAAAGGGAAAGGAACCCAUCACCAUAUUGUGCAAAGUUAAGUGUACAAAAUGGACUGUUAAAGAAUAUAUUUUAAAACCUGAGAGAAAAUAAAUGUCUGAACCCAAAUCAGAGAAUAUAAAUGAGUGACAACUCAAUGAGGAGAGGAAAUUCCCAGCAAAGAGAUUGUGACAGCAUGAGAAAAAAAAGAUGAGGUUCUGGAGGCUGGGAGUUGAAGAUAAGGAUACCAGCUGGGUACGAUCCAUGCCCAGUUUUCCAUGCAGACUGCUGACUUUCUUAUAUAUCCUCGCACUGUGAAAAGAAGGUUAAAUACCUGGGAGUGAGAUUGCUGUGUCAUAUGACGACUGUAGUUCAUUCAGGAGACAACAACGCCGCAGGUGAUCUGGAGGCUCCUGGAGGACCUCAGCGACUCAGGUCCAGUCCAAGGAGGGCCGCAGAUCAGGCUGAAGAAGGAUGGAUCCACAUGCUUAGAGGAGAUCGAGAAAUGCAGCUGAGAGGUACGCUGUAUCUCUCCUACACGUGAGACCCCAGGAAGGAAAAGGACAGCUUGCCAGGUGUCCCCCUCCCGAGUUUCUAGCCCCAUUGACUGUGGGCGACAUCCCUGCACACUCUGGAGCAGUGCUGAAAAGAGAGAUGCAGCAGAGAAAUGCCACAGAAAGGGGAGCUGGAGAGAAUCAAAGCAUGAGAGGAAUUCAACCUGCUGUCACUGGAAGGGGUCCAGAUGGAACGCUUGAGAAGAAACGUGUGUAGCAUCUAGGAGUAAAGACUCGCCCUGGCUGACAGCUAGUAAGGAAAUGGGAACCUCAGUGCUGCAGCCUCAAAGAAUUGACUUUAACCCACAGCCUGUGUGCACUUAGAAGCGGAUGCAUUCACAAAUCUUCCAGAAGGGAAUGGAGCCCCAUUGACACCUUGAUUUUAACCUUCUGAGAUUCUAAGCAGGGAAUCUAGAUGAGACACGCUGUGAGAUAAUACAUAGGUAUUGUUUUAAGCUGCUAAAUUUGUGGUAAUUUCUUAUGACAGCAAUUUAAAAAACUGAUACAAAGCCAGUAACCCAAAUCCUGUAGUCUUCCAUCCUUCACAAUUUCCUACUGGCACCUCCACUCUGCAGUUCCAAUCCAUUUUACCUCCAAAGCAUGGACUGACCCCAUCUUCUCAUCUCCCCAGAAUUCUACUUCAUCUAUCAUCUGGACCAUCCCAAACUGUACCCCUGUUUUGUUUUGACUUUUGACUCUCAAUCUGUUCUCCAAACCGUAGCCGAUUAUUUACUUUAAAAAGUAUGUAAUCAUGACAUUUCUUUGCACACAGUCUUUCAGUGUUUCCACAUAAGCAAAGGAUUCCAGUUCAGCCCCACUUUAACGCAAAGACAUCCAUGACAGAUCCUAUCUCCCCCUCCAGCCUUUUAUAGCACUCUCUCUGCCUUCCUCUUUAUGUGCCUAUAUGGAGAAUUGUAACUUCCCUUCAGUACCACUCCUAGACCCAGGCGUGCAGGGUAUCUGUGCUGAGCUUAGAUCUUCAGAGGCCUCAGCUCUGGUGCUGCCUGGUCUUCCCACAGGUGAGGAAUCUAGGUAGCUGAGCAGAAAUCACCUGUAGCCCAAGUUUCCUUCUUGUGGACCAUGCCUCAGAUGUUUGGUAUCCCGACUUCCCUGGACAAAGGACCCAAAACCCUUUCCAAAGCUGGCAUGGGUUAAUUUUCUGAAUUUAUGCUCUGAAGGAUAGCACAUGCCUCUGGGCAAGUGUGAGGUAGGCUGGCCAAGAGGCAAAUGUUAGCAGUGUUGCCAAAAAGGAGGAGGUGGGCUGUGGAACCAGGGGUAAGAAAACAGGAAGAUGGAUGUCAGUCUGUUUAGGGGGUCCUAUCACAAAAUACCACAGACCGGGUGACUUAAAUCACAGAAAUUUAUUUCUAACAGUUCUGAACGCUGCUAAGACAAAGAUCAAGGUGCCAGCAGAUCCGGUGUCUGGUGAGAACUUUCUUCCUGGUUUCCUCACAUGGUGUUGUGGGUCGGGGAGGUGGGCAGAAAACUAAAACAAGGGUGUUAAUCCCAUCAUGAGGGUUCCACCCUCAUGACCCACUUACCUCCCAGAGACCCCAUCCCAGAUAUCAUUAUACUGAGGAUUAGAGUUUCUGCAUGUGAAUUUUGGAGGGACUCAAACUUUCAGCCCAUAGCAGUAGACCAUCGGUUAAGGGCUGUCUUUCCUUACCAUCAUAUUUCUAGCCUGGAAUUCCAAUAAAUUCUAAAAUUCCAAAUUAGAACCCAGCCUUCCAAGAUGUUAUGAAGAUAUAUUUGUCAAGGUAGGAGCAUAAACCUUGUUUUACAUAGCAGGUGGUUAGCUUGAUUUAUAGUGUCUAACUAUUUAGAUGUAAGAUAUGCUACCUCCAUUUGCACUUUUACCCCAGUCUCCACAAACGGUGGGGGUAUGUUUCCCCCACAUACCAUGUCUUCAUGUUGUUUCUUCCUGUGUUCCAUGUUCUUCUCAAUGCCUGGAAAGGUCUGCCCACCAUUCUUCACCUGGCUAACUCUCACACAUGGCUCAGGACUCAGGUUAGUGGUGGCCUCCCCCAGAAAGCCUUCAAUGAUUCUCCAGUGCCCCCUCCACUCAACAUGCACGUAUGUGAAAUUAUUAAAACACUCCCACACUGUAAGACAAAGAAUAGAGACUACAUUUUAUCCAUUUUGUUUCACUACCAUGGUGUCUGGUGCAUGGUGUGGGUUUAAUUAAAGUUUAUUGAACUGAAUACUGAAAGCAAAUGGUAAAUGCUUCAUUCAGAAUAUAUUCAACAAGCAUUUAAGGAAUAAUAGUACAAAGUGAAGAAGAAAAUUACUGGGGGUGGGAGAGGACAGAUGUGGCAGAUCCCUUGUUCCAGGUCACACAAUAGUAAUAAUCAUUGCCAUUUCUUGAACACUAACCAUUUGCCAGAAACAGCACGAAGUAUUUCACAUGGGUUACAUUUAAUCCUUCCAACCCCAAGAGGUAGAAACUAUUAUAUCUUCAUUUUACAAAUGAGAAAACUGAGGCUUACAUAGGUUAAGUGAUUUGCCUAAAGACUCAAAGACAGAAAGGGCUCCAAAGCCUCUGCUUUAACUAUGGGAGCAUGCUGCUUCCUGACACCUCCCAUGCACAGAAAAGGGAGCUAGACCCUUGUCCUUUUUUUUUUUUUUUUUUAAAGAGAAGAUACAAAUGGUAAUUCCCAAGGGCAUGAGUAAAUGUUAGUUGAAAGUUAAUUGCAUGUGCUUCAGAAAUAAAUGUGGGAACAUCUGAAAUGUGUAAAUAACAAUAAGAUUGCAAAGUAAGGAGGACCAUUUGGAUUACAAUAAGGAAAUGAUCAUGUUCUCUGCUGACAGUGAGCUGGGGGUGUGUCCCAGAGGAAGUUGGGAGGUCUUGUCUGGAGGCCCGCGCUGCAGUCGACUGGAAAGUUCUUAACACAGGAUGUGAGAAGGGAAUGUAUGGGGGCUGAAUUGGUCUUCAAAUCCAAAAUGUAAUACCAACACAAGUUUUACAUUAAAAUAUUUAAAGAUAGAAA
rnacentral:lncRNA from 1 species